rnacentral:rRNA from 1 species
GACUACUGGGGUAUCUAAUCCCGUUUGCUCCCCUAGCUUUCGCGCCUCAGCGUCAAGAACAGGCCAGAAAGUCGCCUUCGCCACUGGUGUUCCUCCGGAUAUCUACGCAUUUCACCACUACACCCGGAAUUCCACUUCCCUCUCCUGCCUUCGAGUCGAACAGUAUCGAAUGACCCUCCCUGGUUGAGCCAGGGGCUUUCACACUCGACUUAUCCGACCGCCUGCGCGCUCUUUACGCCCAGUAAAUCCGGACAACGCUUGCCACCUACGUAUUACCGCGGCUGCUGGCACGUAGUUAGCCGUGGCUUAUUCGCCAGGUACCGUCAUUAUCGUCCCUGACAAAAGAGGUUUACAACCCGAAGGCCGUCAUCCCUCACGCGGCGUUGCUGCUUCAGGGUUUCCCCCAUUGAGCAAAAUUCCCCACUGCAGCCCCCCGUAGG